rnacentral:rRNA from 1 species
AGAGUUUGAUCCUGGCUCAGGACGAACGCUGGCGGCGUGCUUAACACAUGCAAGUCGAACGAAAAGACGGAAAGAGCUUGCUCUUUUCAGAAUUGAGUGGCAAACGGGUGAGUAACACGUAAACAACCUGCCUUCAGGAUGGGGACAACAGACGGAAACGACUGCUAAUACCGAAUAAGUUCCAAGGGCCGCAUGGCCCAUGGAAGAAAAGGUGGCCUCUACCUGUAAGCUAUCGCCUGAAGAGGGGUUUGCGUCUGAUUAGCUGGUUGGAGGGGUAACGGCCCACCAAGGCGACGAUCAGUAGCCGGUCUGAGAGGAUGAACGGCCACACUGGAACUGAGACACGGUCCAGACUCCUACGGGAGGCAGCAGUGGGGAAUCUUCCGCAAUGGGCGAAAGCCUGACGGAGCAACGCCGCGUGAGUGAUGACGGCCUUCGGGUUGUAAAACUCUGUGAUCCGGGACGAAAAGGCAGAGUGCGAAGAACAAACUGCAUUGACGGUACCGGAAAAGCAAGCCACGGCUAACUACGUGCCAGCAGCCGCGGU